rnacentral:rRNA from 1 species
UACGUAGGGGGCAAGCGUUGUCCGGAAUCAUUGGGCGUAAAGAGCGUGUAGGCGGCCCGGUAAGUCCGCUGUAAAAGUCCAGGGCUCAACCCUGGAAAGCCGGUGGAAACUGUCGGGCUAGAGUCCGGAAGAGGCGAGUGGAAUUCCUGGUGUAGCGGUGAAAUGCGCAGAUAUCAGGAGGAACACCAAUGGCGAAGGCAGCUCGGUGGGACGGUACUGACGCUGAGACGCGAAAGCGUGGGGAGCAAACCGG